UAUUAUUAAUAGCAUACAAUAAAGAUUGGAGAUUACGAACAACAGUUUAAACACCAAAGAAUUUGGCGGUGUCUUAUAUAAUUAGGGGAACCUGUCCUAUAACUCGAUAAUCCACGUAUAUUCCACCUAUAUUUGAAAUUCAGUUAGUGUACUGCCGUAACAAGUAUACCUUUAUGAGUGUAUACAAAUAAUUAUUAAUCAAUUUAACGUCAGGUCAAAGUGCUGCCUAUAUAUAGGAAGAGAUGGGUUACAACCUAAACACAGAUAUGAAUCAAAAUAAUAAUUAUUUUGUGAAAGUGGACUUAAUAGUAAUUAUAUUAAUAAUAUAAUGAAAUAUUACCUAAGACAAGU
rnacentral:rRNA from 1 species